rnacentral:rRNA from 1 species
GGUUGCGAUCAUACCAGCACUAAUGCACCGGAUCCCAUCAGAACUCCGCAGUUAAGCGUGCUUGGGCGAGAGUAGUACUCGCAUGGGUGACCCCCUGGGAAGUCCUCGUGUUACAACCCC